rnacentral:rRNA from 1 species
UUGAACGCUGGCGGCAUGCCUUACACAUGCAAGUCGAACGGUAGAGGGGCAACCCUUGAGAGUGGCGAACGGGUGAGUAAUAUAUCGGAACGUGCCCAGUCGUGGGGGAUAACGCAGCGAAAGCUGCGCUAAUACCGCAUACGAUCUAUGGAUGAAAAGCGGGGGAUCGCAAGACCUCGCGCGAUUGGAGCGGCCGAUAUCAGAUUAGGUAGUUGGUGGGGUAAAAGCCCACCAAGCCGACGAUCUGUAGCUG